AUUGAACGCUGGCGGCAGGCCUAACACAUGCAAGUCGAGCGAGCGGCGGACGGGUGAGUAAUGUAUGGGGACUGCCCGAUAGAGGGGGAUAACUACUGGAAACGGUGGCUAAUACCGCAUACUAUCGGAUAACCCAGAUGGGAUUAGCUAGUAGGUGGGGCAAUGGCUCACCUAGGCGACGAUCCCUAGCUGGUCUGGGAGGAUGACCAGCCCCACUGGAACUGCGACACGGUCCUGACUCCUACGGAGGCAGCAGUGGGGAAUAUUGGACAAUGGGCGCAAGCCUGAUGCAGCCCUGCCGCGUGUGUGAAGAAGGCCUUCGGGUUGUAAAGCACUUUCAGCUAGGAGGCGUUACUGACAGAAGAAGCACCGGCUAACUCCGUGCCAGCAGCCGCGGUAAUUC
rnacentral:rRNA from 1 species